ACACGCACAAGGCAAAUCCGUUGAAAAACGGAGACGCAAAGCUACAAGACUAAGUUCCGAAGAUUAAAUCGGGAUAAGUUGGUUGAGCCGCCGAA
rnacentral:ncRNA from 1 species